GACGAACGCUGGCGGCGUGCUUAACACAUGCAAGUCGAACGAAGAGCGACGGAAGCUUGCUUCUAUCAAUCUUAGUGGCGAACGGGUGAGUAACGCGUAAUCAACCUGCCCUUCAGAGGGGGACAACAGUUGGAAACGACUGCUAAUACCGCAUACGAUCUAACCUCGGCAUCGAGGAUAGAUGAAAGGUGGCCUCUACAUGUAAGCUAUCACUGAAGGAGGGGAUUGCGUCUGAUUAGCUAGUUGGAGGGGUAACGGCCCACCAAGGCGAUGAUCAGUAGCCGGUCUGAGAGGAUGAACGGCCACAUUGGGACUGAGACACGGCCCAGACUCCUACGGGAGGCAGCAGUGGGGAAUCUUCCGCAAUGGACGAAAGUCUGACGGAGCAACGCCGCGUGAGUGAUGACGGCCUUCGGGUUGUAAAGCUCUGUUAAUCGGGACGAAAGGCCUUCUUGCGAAUAGUGAGAAGGAUUGACGGUACCGGAAUAGAAAGCCACGACUAACUACGUG
rnacentral:rRNA from 1 species